rnacentral:rRNA from 1 species
CCUACGGGAGGCUGCAGUGAGGAAUAUUGGUCAAUGGACGAGAGUCUGAACCAGCCAAGUAGCGUGAAGGAUGACUGCCCUAUGGGUUGUAAACUUCUUUUAUAAAGGAAUAAAACGAGGCACGUGUGCCUUUUUGCAUGUACUUUAUGAAUAAGGAUCGGCUAACUCCGUGCCAGCAGCCGCGGUAAUACGGAGGAUCCGAGCGUUAUCCGGAUUUAUUGGGUUUAAAGGGAGCGUAGAUGGGUUGUUAAGUCAGUUGUGAAAGUUUGUGGCUCAACCGUAAAAUUGCAAGUGAUACUGGCAGUCUUGAGUACAGUUGAGGUAGGCGGAAUUCGUGGUGUAGCGGUGAAAUGCUUAGAUAUCACGAAGAACCCCGAUUGCGAAGGCAGCUUACUAAACUGUGACUGACAUUGAUGCUCGAAAGUGUGGGGAUCAAACAGGAUUAGAUACCCGAGUAGUC